ACAAAACCUGUUAUUAUUCAUGGGCAGUAUGCAUGCAGGGGGUGUGUGAGGCACCGACCGUGGAGAGCAUGCACUCAGGGAUGGUGCAGGAGAAUUUUUACAUACUUUUAGCUCAAAGGUCCUCACAGAGCUAGGUUUGUGGGAAGGAUUUGACUAGUGGGGUCAUUUGGCACAACAGGCUUAGAAGAUUGCUCCAUUCGUGGAGCAUGGAAUAAGCCAGUCCCAAAUGGAAAAAUACAAAGUUAACUGAUGUAGAAAAAAAAAGUGUAUCAAGUUAAGGUUAUACAGCACUUCAAAGAACACGUCUGUAUUAAAAUCAGCAUGGUUAAUAAUUGGAGAGGUCGUUAGAGAUGGGACAAGCCUGACAAGUUCUACAGUGAAAUCUGUCCUGUGUUUGGGCUCAAGCGCGCAGCGUUUGCUUUGGAAGCCCUUUCAGAUGAGCCUGAGAAGAAUAAGGAACCUAAGUGGAGGUGGCAAGGCACUGGUCUUGAUGCCAAUGGGUAGCUGAGAUGGUGACCCUGGAAAGGUUGUGAACUCCAAAGUGUUCACUGGUCUUAAAAUUUGGGUUUGCUUUGGCACCCUGGCAAACAGAGCUAGUGUUCUAAAUUGAAUCUGCUGGACUUCCAGCAGCUGUCAGGGACUGGGACGAGAACGUACAGCCUUGGGAGCCUCGCACAUUUCCACUUCUGGAUUCUGCAUGCCAAGGU